AGUGAACGCUGGCGGCGUGCUUAACACAUGCAAGUCGAACGAUAACGGAUUAUAGCUUGCUAUAAUUGUCAGCUAAGUGGCGCACGGGUGAGUAAUGUAUAGGUAAUAUGCCUCUUACUAAGGGAUAACAAAUGGAAACGUUUGCUAAUACCUUAUACUCCUUAUUAACAGAAGUUAAUAAGGUAAAGAUUUAUUGGUAAGAGAUUAGCCUGUAUUGUAUCAGUUAGUUGGUGGGGUAAUGGCUUACCAAGACUAUGACACAUAACUGGUUUGAGGGGAUGAUCAAUCACACUGGAACUGAGACACGGUCCAGACUCCUACGGGAGGCAGCAGUGGGGAAUAUUGCACAAUGGACGAAAGUCUGAUGCAGCAACGCCGCGUGGAGGAUGACACAUUUCGGUGCGUAAACUCCUUUUAUAUGGGAAGAUAAUGACGGUAUUAUAUGAAUAAGCACCGGCUAACUCCGUGCCAGCAGCCGCGGUAA
rnacentral:rRNA from 1 species